GACUAAAUUCAGCUGUGGUAAAAGCACGAAGGAAUUAUCAUGUUCACGAUGCUUAGAAUUUUAUUGUGGUGUAACUUACUCUUUGGGAAUAAUGUAUCGAAUUACAAUUUGGAUACGAAAGGAGAGUUUUUUUCAAAGAUAAAUUAAAUUCAUUUAGAUACAUGGUGCUCUGGAAAAGCUCCCGAGAAACAAUACUAUACUGAAUGUAUUAUGUUAAUGUUGCAUAAUAUUUAAAAAAAGUUAGGAUUUUUUGAACUAACUUUUAUUUAAUUUUUUGUUAACGUACUGUUAACAUUUAAAUUUAGCCAAUAUUUCUGCGGUUUGUAAAAUUGCUCUAACAUGUCAUAGUGUGUUAUAAGAGAUUGCUGUACAUGCCUGUAACUGGCUUACAUACCAGUACUUAAUUUUAUACAUGUUAAUUUUGAGCUUGAAUGAUUUCUGUGUAUUGCUGUUGGUGUGUCUAAAUAAAUAAAUAAAUAAACUAUAAACUUCA